CUUUUUAUGUUCCAAUUAGUGUCGGCUUGCGUGUGGAUAAAGUAAAUAAUAACAAAUCUAUUAAAAAUAGAGGAAAAUCUGACAGUGUUGUUUAUCUAUAUGAAUCUGUAAAAAUGAAGGAAAAGAUAAGAAAGGAAACAUUCCUAUUAGAUGUUGCUUCUCACUUCUCUUACCUGUGUAUUGUAAUUUUUGUUGCAGCUUUUUCUGAAGUUGCUUAUGCGUAAGAGGAUUUGAGAAAUUUCUACAUAAGUUGAUGAACCUAUUUUCUUUUUGGCGGAAGAAGGGAAAUAAUAGUUGCCAAAAGCUAUCAUGUCUCGAACUCUUAGUUUUGUAAGCUACGUUACUAAUAAAUCAUAACAACAACAUACCCCGUGUGAUCCCACAAGUGGGAUCUGGGGAGGAUGAGGUGUACGCAGACUUACCCCUAGCUCAAGCAAAACUAAUGGUUGGGUAACUUUCACAAUGAUGCAAUAAUUGGGCUCUGAUUUUUUUUAAAUGCAACUCUCAUAUACAUAAUGACCAAUGGAAAUUUCUAAUUGCAUCAGUCUAUUGAUGUACCUUUUAAGGCUUUGUUGGAAUAGUUGUCUUCAUUUUUUAGGAUUAACUUAUUUUUGUAUAAAUAUGAUGGUUUAGUUAUUGAAGUUACACUCAUUUCCUUGCAAUUUUCAUAAAUUGAACUUCAAUAAUGUCCUGAAAUAGCUGUCUAUAUGAAUUUGUUAGAGCUAAGUAGACUGGGGACCUACUUUCUCCCGGUGAAGGAUAAAAUAAAUGAUAUUAUUUAAGAGUUGAACAAUCUUUGAGGAUAGUCAUGUAUUGUUUGUCAGAUUAAUGAAUCCCUAUUUCUGGACCAAAUUCUUUUUGAUGUUUUUUCCUCUUUUGCCUACUAUCUUGUCUCUGUUUGAGUAGCGUCUCUAUGUAGACGAGCAUAAUAGCUAGAAUAAUGUGAGAAAACUUGGAUAGUAGUGUUCUAAUACUUGGUCACAUGUGAACUAGAAGUACGAACGCUCAAGUUCAAGUGCUCUUCAUGCUUAGGUUCGUAGCUCCAACGAUUUUCUUGGGGCUACCCAACAAGUAACAUAGGAGGAUAAUGCUUGAAUUAUCUGAAGCUAAAUGUUGGUCUCCUAUAAGUUGUCAUACCCAUGGAUAUCAUGUUUUUCUCCCCAUUCAUUUAGUUUUCCUAACUACAUUUCAUUUGUAAUAUGAAGCUAGAUGGUAGUCUCCUGUAAGUUGUCAUACUCAUGGAUCUCAUGUUGUUCUCUCCAUUCAUUCAGUAUCCUAUCUACAUUUCGUAUUUACUUCAUCUCAUUAUACAUCAUGGUAAAUAAUUUGUAGAUGUAAAGGCACUUUCCCCGGUAGGUGAAUACUAUUAAUAAACUUAUUUUUUAUGGUGGCACGCAUAACUGUAUAAAGUUGGGAACUAAUAAAAAAUGUAUUCCAAAAUAUAGGUUGAUAUCUAAAUUAAUCAAGAAAUUCAUUAUCUUUAAUCCUUUAUCUAAGAAAGAUCCAAAGGAAAUAACUCACAAGAACUUCUAUUGUGCUGCAGACUAUUCAUAUUUUGUUUUGAUGAUGAACUUUCACCUGGGUAUUUCUCAGCAAUUUUUUUGCCAAUUACGUGAAAACUAUUCACGCAAGGACAUUGUUGUUAUAUUUGUGAAUUCACCCUAGCUACUUGUGUUUGAUUUCUUUUGUUUGAAUUGUUAGUAUUUAAUCUAAUUAUAUACUUGAAAGAAGGGUAAAUUCAACUUGCGAUAAUCCAUAGGCUGAUUGUUUACUGGGGCUCUUUUUAGACAAUUGUGUAGUUUGGAAAAAGAAUUUGGUGGAGAUGAUACAGUAAGUGAUCGCACAGCUCUCAUACUGGAUAAUUUCAACCAGCAAAUGGCAACCUAUGAAGCAUCUUUACAGGCAAGUCCACUUUUAAUAUCGGUAUUGCAUCUUGAGAUUUUUGCACUUUUGCAUAACCAGUGUGAAUUUGUUCAGGUAUCAUUGGCACAAAUGGAAUACUAAUUACCACGGCUAACCCGUAUGUGGACUCAAUUUGGGUCAAGGGUAUGGGUGAAAAACAAAUUGAAGUAGACAAGACAAUUUUACAUACUCAAGUAAGCAAUUUUCAUUUAUCAUCAUAAAUUAUGCAUGUCUGUAGUGGUAAGUAACUUUCUGUCCAGUUCAUAUUUAAGUAGAGCUACAUAUCAACCCUCUAUAUUUAUUAACUUUCUGGACAAUUGUAGAGGUUGGAUUGUGGUGUGAGUAAUAUUUUGAUCAUUAGUUCUCAGACAUGAUUUUUUGCCUGUGAUAGUUUUCAAUUUGUUACUGGUUUUAGUGAUAUUUCAAGUGGCCUUUGUAUGUGCCUUUGGCCUUCCCAAAUUUCAACAGCAAAAUGCUUCUUGCGAGCACCACCACACCAAAUUUCAUAGAGAUGAGAUACUAAAAGUUCACUGAUGCACUACUGAUAGAGUAAAUGAUCUCGCAAGUAGCUUUGAAACCUUUUGAUUAGUAACCGUUGUCUUUAGCUAAGUACUGUAAGAAAGUGCAGCAGAGUAUCUACUCCAUCUACUCUUGAGAUUGGAAGUGUCUCACGAUAUAAAUCUAGAUUGCUGUUGGAUAAUUGCAUUUUCAUAUCUACCAGGUGUGUAUACGUGUAUGAAGUAUGUGCCUCAUUUUAGAGGAAUCUUGAGGCUAGCGAGCUAUAUGUAAAUUUGAUACAUGACCCAUUUAUUCAUGGGGUUUGAAUGAAGGCUCACCUCUUCUGGGCUUAAACUCAAGUCUACGCAUGACUAUUGCAGGACAGUAAUAUUUUUUUUGAUUUCAUCCGGAGGUUUUAGCUAUAUAAUAAUAUACAAGUGCUUUACCGAAAGUGUAAGUAUAACCCGUUGCUAAAAUCUCGGUGCCCUUCCCAUUAAAAUUUUACAUAUCUAUUAUUACAUUUAGCGUUGAAUUUUGGUUAAUUGAAUUUCUUUAUCAGUUUCAUUUCGUCAGAAAGUAUGCCCCAAAAGUAUUCGAAGUCAUCCUACAAAAUAACGUUGUUUUUAUCGCGCAUCAGAUGAUGUGAAACAAUUACUACUUUACAUGAGGACGCAUGAUGCUCAUGUUGUAAUUCGAUAAUGAAAUAUUUAAGGAAUGCCUUCUGACAUCAAUGUGAAUGAACUCUAAAAUUACAAAUGUUAGGUAUCUUAUGUGAUUGAGUUAAUUAUUGAUUCAUUUUCAAAGUUUACUUAAAUGCUUUUGCUUGCACUUUCUUAUUACCUGCUUAGGCAAAAAGUGGUCGUAGAUGCAAAUUUACAAGGUAAAAGAUUGUUCAAAGUUAUUAGUUUAAUAAAGCAAUAAAAUGACACUAGGCACCCGUGCGAAUUACGGGCACGCUAACUAUAUAAUAAGCGUGGGUUGAGGGUACGACGAAGGGUAUUCCCGUUAAUAUUGACUGUUUUACGGGCAAAAUGAUAUCCUUCCUCUUCCCUUAUAUUGAGCCAUCUUUUGGGAAACCAAAAGCCCACUGUCCAUCCUCUUCCAUUUAUUUGCUCUUCUUCUUAGUUUUACAAGGUUUUCUUCCAAAAUUCUAAAUCAGAAUUCCAAGUCGACUCUACUGAUUGUGCGUUUUUUAGGAUAAUUUUAAAUUCCCUUAAAAACUCUACAACUAGUCAACCACACAGAAGUAACUGCUAAGCACCUCUAUAACGGUCGACUCUUUGGUAGAGAUUGAUCGUUUCAACUGGGUUCUUCAUGCGUGGGUACUUUGGAAGAUUCAAGAUUAAUUUUUGUGUGAAAAUUUUGAUGGGUUAUUCUCAGGUGAGUUUCACCCUUGCCCAUCCUCUGCUUGAUUUACUUCAUGUAUUACGCCCAAAGUUAGUCUAUUUUGGUAGUGGUGAAGACUUCAAAGUUUGUUGGUGUUUCGAUUUUGAACUGAUUGCAUAUAAUCUUCACAUCAAUCUAACCUCUAUAAAGGUAUUUCUUCUUUUAAGAAUUGCCAAUCACAUAUACUCUACUGAUGUGCCGGGCAAAUAGGGUAAAGAUAUGUGGGAGAGUACUAUUACAAUUGUCCUGUUGUGUUAGAUGCAUUAAUAAUUAAGCAUUUCAAAAUUGUUGUUUAAUUGAGUUUGCUUUGGCUAUAGCUACAUUCUUUGUAGGGCAGUUACAGGUCUUCAACCAACAACAACAAAAAUGUUAGUGACAAAUUCCAUCAUGCUUCAUAGUUUACAAUGUCCAAAAAUUUAAAAUUAGGAUCCAUCACAAGUUAUCACAACAGGUUUAAGAUCCAGAGCUUCAAGAUAUGCAUGGUCGGUGACAGACUGGAUACGGAUAUACUGUUUGGACAAAGUGAUGGCUGCAAAACUCUUCUUGUUCUUUCAGGUGUGACGUCUUUAUCGAUGCCUCAAGAUCCCAAAAUCUCUAUAUAACCGGAUUUCUACCCCAACAAUAUUUCUGAGAUCCUCUCUAUCACACCAGCUGCAGUUUGAGUCAGUCCACUAACAAACUCUAUAUGGUAAUUCAAUUCUUUUGUCUGAAAUGUAAUUAGAAUAUGUACUUCAUCUGUACAUCCACUUCUCUUUAAGCUAAAAUGUGGGACCUUGAACAUAGGCUAUCUGAGAAGCUAUAUAAUACAUUGUACUAAGGAGAUUAUGGAAUACCAACCAUUCAUACUAUUUACCAAUCAAAAAAAAAAAAACUUUCAAGAUAAAUGGUUUUUAGAAAACUAAUA